UGCCUCUGCAGCAAAGUAUUUUCUUGGCUUUCCUGUGAUCAAACAAUGUAGGAAGACAAUGCAACAAAUGGGAAGAAAUACGAAGCUUCUUGAUUGAUGAAUCAAUCAUUAAAUAUGCAGUUCUCUCAAGACAACCGUAUCUGCGACCGUUUUGGAAGAGACACUCUAUGGUUCAGUUACAAUUCGCCAACUUUCAUUGGGACAACUUGUAUCUAA
rnacentral:lncRNA from 1 species